CAGCUCCAUCCCUUUUAGCAAAAUAGCAAAAGGCGAAAAAGCAAACCCCACAUGCUAGGUGGGGGAAACGCAGCUUCUCCGGGCUUCGUGCUUUUAUCAAAGUUUCUCCAGUUCCAUUUUCUCAUCUCUGUUUGGAAAAGGCAGAUGUGUUUCUCACCAGUAGCCGGUCCCCCAGUGCUUGCAAAGGGGCAGUGAGUGAGUGAAGUAACCAUGGGAAAAACUUAGCUCAGACAGACGGUCCCGAAAGGGUGAGAAUUGAUUACCCAUUUACACCCGCCGGUUCUAGUGAUUAUGACUGGUGCUCACUCGACAAGAAAUUCCAAGGCAGAUGGCGGUACUGCACGGGGCAAGAUCCCCCCAAGUGUGCCUUCCCCUUCCUCUACAGAAAAAAGCUCUUUUAUGAAUGCACCAAGAAUGGCUAUGUUUUGAAUCGGAGUUGGUGCUCAUUGACAAAAAAUUAUAACCGAGAUGGGAAAUGGAAGCAGUGCUCUCCUUUUGGUCUCUAAAUGAGUCUUCGUGUCCUUGAAGAGACAGAAGUUAUAGGACUCAUCAGUUGCCUCUCAGAAUAUAUCAUUUCCCUGAUUAUUAUGACAAUAAAGAUUUG